rnacentral:pre_miRNA from 1 species
UAAGUACUCCCUCCGAUCCAUAUUAAUUGUCGAAAUAUUACAUGUAUCUAGACACUUUUUAGGCAUAGAUACAUCCAUAUUUUGGCAAAUUUGAGACAAUUAAUAUGGAUCGGAGGGAGUAACUA